rnacentral:rRNA from 1 species
UACAGAGGUGGCAAGCGUUGUUCGGAAUUACUGGGCGUAAAGGGCGCGUGGGCGGCCUUCUAAGUCGGACGUGAAAGCCCCAGGCUUAACCUGGGAACUGCGUCCGAUACUGGAAGGCUUGGAUUCGGGAGAGGGAUGUGGAAUUCCAGGUGUAGCGGUGAAAUGCGUAGAUAUCUGGAGGAACACCGGUGGCGAAGGCGGCAUCCUGGACCGAGAUCGACGCUGAGGCGCGAAAGCUAGGGGAGCAAACGGG